ACUCAAUAGAUACCCGGGUAGUCCACGCCCUAAACGAUGUCUACUAGUUGUCGGGUCUUAAUUGACUUGGUAAACGCAGCUAAACGCGUGAAGUAGACCGCCUGGGGAGUACGGUCGCAAGAUUAAAACUCAAAGGAAUUGACGGGGACCCGCACAAGCGGUGGAUGAUGUGGAUUAAUUCGAUGCAACGCGAAAAACCUUACCUACCCUUGACAUGGAUGGAAUCCCUGAGAGAUUGGGGAGUGCUCGAAAGAGAACCAUUACACAGGUGCUGCAUGGCUGUCGUCAGCUCGUGUCGUGAGAUGUUGGGUUAAGUCCCGCAACGAGCGCAACCCUUGUCAUUAGUUGCUACGAAAGGGCACUCUAAUGAGACUGCCGGUGACAAACCGGAGGAAGGUGGGGAUGACGUCAAGUCCUCGUGGCCCUUAUGGGUAGGGCUUCACACGUCAUACAAUGGUACAUACAGAGGGCCGCCAACCCGGCGAGGGGGUAGCUAAUCCCAGAAAGUGUAUCGUAGUCCGGAUUGUAGUCUGCAACUCG
rnacentral:rRNA from 1 species